rnacentral:rRNA from 1 species
AAUAGAUACCCAGGUAGUCUACGCCGUAAACGAUGCGCACUAGGUUCGAAGGUCUCUGACGAUCCUCGAGCCGAAACAAAAGCGUUAAGUGCGCCGCCUGGGGAGUACGGCCGCAAGGCUAAAACUCAAAGGAAUUGACGGGGGCUCACACAAGCGGUGGAGCAUGUGGAUCAAUUCGAAGCAACGCGAAGAACCUUACCUGGGUUUGACAUGUACGGAUGCCCUCGGGGAAACUCGAGUAAGCUGCCUUCGGGUGAAACGUAUACAGGUGCUGCAUGGCUGUCGUCAGCUCGUGCUGUGAAGUGUCGGGUUAAGUCCCUUAACGAGCGAAACCCUUAUCGCUAGUUGCCAGCGGGUCAUGCCGGGAACUCUAGUGAGACUGCCGGCGUCAAGCCGGAGGAAGGCGGGGACGACGUCAAGUCAUCAUGGCCUUUAUGCCCAGGGUGUCACACGUGCUACAAUGGGGUGGUACAGAGCGACGCAAGACCGCAAGGUGGAGCAAAUCGCAGAAAACACCCCUCAGUUCGGAUCG